GCCUGAAACGCGAAUAAUUGGAUUAGUUUUAAUGCGAAAGUUUUAACUAGAUAGAUAAUCUAUACAUAUAUGGUAACAUUGCGUUUGUAUGGGUACGAUUUUUUUCUGUUCUACGAAUAGACGCGAUAGAUUGAGCUCCGAACACGAUUGUACUUUUAAAAUCGAUUUGGUCUACCUAAUCCGGGUCGGAAUAAUAAUGGCCUAUCUAAGUUAUGAUCUUUUGUCACGUGACGAAAGUAAUAAAAUUUUAAUACUUUUCUCUUUUGUUUUAAGGAUUUUCGGAAAUCAAACGUUCGAAUUCGCUUCAGACAUCUAUAUAUCAAGCUCGAUGGAUAUUUUAUCGAUAAUACCCGAGAGAUACCACUUGACAUAAAGCGGGAAAUAUAUUCGUUGAGUAUAAAUAGCGCAGCAGCUAAACGAUCGGAUAAAUGUGUGUCUGUUACCCUAAACACGCACCUUGUAGUGGCAUGGAAUUAAUAUAAAUCAAAAUAUGCGACCACGAUAAAAUGUCGUAUAACUAUCACUGUCAAAAUAUUAAACUAAUGCAAUUGAUUAUAUUUUUUAGGCCAUGCCUCAAAUAAAAAAUACGAAAAUUAGUCGAACCAAACUUGACUUAAUCUACUGAAAAAUAACUCUUAGACUUAUGAAAUGUCAACGUGAAAGUCAAAUACUGCAUAAGAAUCAUAAAAUAUGCGUCGAUACUCACAUGUACUGAAUUAUCAUAACGGCCAGUCCAUUAGAAAGUUUGUCAGUGAAACUCAUUACUCCAUAAACAAAUGCUCCAUUUUCUGUGCUGUGACCAAUGUAAUCUGCUGUUAUGGCAAGACUAGUCACAAUCAUCAUUGAACCUCCAGAUCCUAUGCACACAACGUGACGUAUUUUAACAAUUGUUUUAUAGUUGUUUAGGACAAGGUAAAAAAAUUAAAUGUGCAAAAUUACCUAAGAGUAAUGAUACUGGAUAUAUAAAAAGGCUAACAAAUUGUUCACCUUUACCAAAAAAGAUCCAGGUGCAAGCACUGAGUCCCAUUACUGCUCCAAUUAAAUAUGAGCCCUUUCUACCUAAUUUCGCAUUAAUGUAAUUUAUAGCUAAUGAAGCUUUAAAGCUACUUAAGUACAUUAUAAGAGGUAUAAUGGCCAGAGAGGUAGCUGGCAUUUGCAAAGUUUCAUGCAAAUACAAUGGUAUAUAGGUCUGCGUCAAAUUUACAAACAAUCGAGUAGGCAUGUAAAUACAUGCUAUCUGAUACAACUCCGGAUCUUUAAAUAUAGAAAAUGGCGUUUGCAGCUCUCUUUGCGACUGUUCUUGUGAGACUCCGGCUGAAAAUAAUUUUCACUCAGUGCUACACAUACUGUUUGUUUUACUAAGUAUUUAAUAGACUUACUCAAAGCAUCUCUUGAAUUAUUCUCCCUCACAAAUAUGUGGAAGAUAAUUGACGAUAAGACACCUAUGGACAUUCCAAUCAGAACAAUCUCCUGAAAUUUGUAUGCAUCAUUUGGGCCAAUUUUAUCAGUUGGGCUUUCGCUAGUGAUGUGGAGCACUGCCCAUGUUACGCAAUACACAAGAACAUUUGAAAAGACUGUAAAACUGUACCUAAAUUCGAAGACAAUUAAAACCUUCUGUAAGAGCUGUACGUUCUAAAUCUGAAGGUGUCAGAUCAGGAAUGAGAGACAAAUGAGAUAUUUGGACUGAAGCCCAACCAAAUUGAAAUAUUAUUACAAAGGCUGCAUAAUAUAUUAGCUGUGCCCAUUGAUGUGUUCUUGGACUGCAACCAAUGCAGUGAGAGAAUAUAAAAGGAAAUGUAGCCACCACGCAAAUUGUUCCUGCAAUCAAAACAUAUGCGUGAAUUUCAACAGACAGGAUAAGAAAAAAAUAGUGGUAAAUAAAUAGAAAAGCUUACCCAUUAAAUGCCAAGUUUUUCUUCUACCAUAUCGGCACAACCAAAAAUCAUCAUUUUUAUCAGAAUGCAAACCAACAAAAGGUGUCGCAACAGCAUCUGCCACCUGUCCGAUUAAUAAGACUACACCUGCAUAUGCAGGACUAAAUCCAAGCACCAGAUGAAAAUAAACUAGCAAAUAAGUGAACCACAUUGAUGCGCAAACAUCAUUUAAAACAUGUCCCACUCCAUACGCUAAUUUGGAUUUCAAAGGAACUCUUUGAAUUUCUUGCUGAUUAUCGUUAGUCUCUGCUGAUAUAUUAUCCAUUUUUUAAUUGGCUUUGUUUUUAAUUAUUCUAAAGAAAAUGUUGCAUUAUCUGAAAACAGUAAAAGAAUUUUUUUAUCAUAUCUAUUAAAAAUUGAAUCUACUUUAGCAAAUUAGAUAUGAAUAUAAGUUUAUUAACUAACCUUAUGUAUAAUAUUUUUUGAUCACCAAUAUUGUGUACAAUAUUUUAACUGCACAUGUAAGCAGUAAAAUUAACUAAUGACUUGGUAUUUUGUGAAACAAAAGGUAAACUGUGUAAAUACAAAUGUAUGUACAUAUUUUUUAAUAAUGUGCAACUACAAUAAUAAACCACCUACUCUGUUACAUUUUAUCUUCUGCUAACAUGUAUGUAUACUUCCCAUAUCCAUACUAGUGUAGUAUAGUUUACAUACACAUAUGUCAAGUAUCACAGACUGAGUCAUGUGAUCACGUGAAUUAUUGUUGAUAUCCAGAAACCCACUUAAGCACAUAUGAGAAUAUAAAUUUUAAAUAAUAUAUAUAUCAUAGCUUGUUAUUUAAACAAAAAAAAUACAUGUAUAUUACAAACAUACUUGGAAUAGGAGUGCCAAUGCGUUUAAAAUAAUUGAAUUUAAAUACAAUACACAGAUUUUAUUAGUUUCUUGUCACAAAAUUUUAUUUGAUAUUUUUAUAAUGUACAUAUGGUUUAUCUUGAAACAAAAUUGUAAUAUAUUUUCAUGUCAAAAAAGAUAUUGAUCAAUUUCUACAUUUUUCCAAUAUAAUUCCUCUGACAAUGAAUUAUCCUAAAUUAUUUGAACCUUGAACUACAUGCAUAUUUACAUCAACAUAAUAACAGGCAUUCGGUACAGUUAUUGUACAAGGUGUAACUUAUAUUAAAAUCAAGUUUUGCCUAUACCUUGAACGAGAACGCACAAAAAUACUGAUCGACUCGACUGGAAUAAAUAUAUGAACAUUAAUUUAACGAGCUUCAUUCUC